rnacentral:rRNA from 1 species
CUACGGGGUGCACCAGUGAGGAAUUUUGCGCAAUGGGGGAAACCCUGACGCAGCAACGCCGCGUGAGCGAAGAAGGCCUUCGGGUCGUAAAGCUCUGUCAAGUGGGAAAAAAAUUCUUUGAUGAACAGUCAAAGGACUUGAUGGUACCACUGGAGGUAGCACCGGCUAACUCCGUGCCAGCAGCCGCGGUAAUACGGAGGGUGCAAGCGUGUUCGGAAUUACUGGGCGUAAAGAGCGUGUAGGCGGUUUGACAAGUCAGAUGUGAAAGCCCCGGGCUCAACCCGGGAAGUGCAUUUGAAACUGUUUCACUAGAGUAUGGGAGAGGAGAUUGGAAUUCCUGGUGUAGAGGUGAGAUGCGUAGAUAUCAGGAGGAGCACCCGUGGCGAAGGCGAUUCUCUGGACCAAUACUGACGCUGAGACGCGAAAGCGUGGGGAGCAAACAGGAUUAGAUACCCGAGUAGUC